rnacentral:rRNA from 1 species
AGCGAACGCUGGCGGCAGGCUUAACACAUGCAAGUCGAGCGGGCACCUUCGGGUGUCAGCGGCAGACGGGUGCGUAACACGUGGGAACGUACCCUUCGGUUCGGAAUAACGCUGGGAAACUAGCGCUAAUACCGGAUACGCCCUUAUGGGGAAAGGUUUACUGCCGAAGGAUCGGCCCGCGUCUGAUUAGCUAGUUGGUGGGGUAACGGCCUACCAAGGCGACGAUCAGUAGCUGGUCUGAGAGGAUGAUCAGCCACACUGGGACUGAGACACGGCCCAGACUCCUACAGGAGGCAGCAGUGGGGAAUAUUGGACAAUGGGCGCAAGCCUGAUCCAGCCAUGCCGCGUGAGUGAUGAAGGCCUUAGGGUUGUAAAGCUCUUUUGUCCGGGACGAUAAUGACGGUACCGGAAGAAUAAGCCCCGGCUAACUUCGU